CGCUGGCGGCGCGCCUAACACAUGCAAGUCGAACGGUACCCACCCUCGGGUGGAAGCGAGUGGCGAACGGCUGAGUAACACGUGGAGAACCUGCCCCCUCCCCCGGGAUAGCCGCCCGAAAGGACGGGUAAUACCGGAUACCCCGGGGUGCCGCAUGGCACCCCGGCUAAAGCCCCGACGGGAGGGGAUGGCUCCGCGGCCCAUCAGGUAGACGGCGGGGUGACGGCCCACCGUGCCGACAACGGGUAGCCGGGUUGAGAGACCGACCGGCCAGAUUGGGACUGAGACACGGCCCAGACUCCUACGGGAGGCAGCAGUGGGGAAUCUUGCGCAAUGGGGGGAACCCUGACGCAGCGACGCCGCGUGCGGGACGGAGGCCUUCGGGUCGUAAACCGCUUUCAGCAGGGAAGAGUCAAGACUGUACCUGCAGAAGAAGCCCCGGCUAACUACGUGCCAGCAGCCGCGGUAAUACGUAGGGGGCGAGCGUUAUCCGGAUUCAUUGGGCGUAAAGCGCGCGUAGGCGGCCCGGCAGGCCGGGGGUCGAAGCGGGGGGCUCAACCCCCCUAAGCCCCCGGAACCUCUGCGGUUUGGGUCCGGUAGGGGAGGGGGGAACACCCGGUGUAGCGGUGGAUGCGCAGAUUCGGGGUGAACCCCCGUGGGGAAGGCGGCCCUCUGGGCCGAGACCGACGUUGAGGCGCGAAAGCUGGGGGAGCGAACAGGAUUAGAUACCCUGGUAGUCCCAGCCGUAAACGAUGGACGCUAGGUGUGGGGGGGACGAUCCCCCCGUGCCGCAGCCAACGCAUUAAGCGUCCCGCCUGGGGAGUACGGCCGCAAGGCUAAAACUCAAAGGAAUUGACGGGGGCCCGCACAAGCAGCGGAGCAUGUGGCUUAAUUCGAAGCAACGCGAAGAACCUUACCAGGGCUUGACAUAUGGGUGAAGCGGGGGAGACCCCGUGGCCGAGAGGAGCCCAUACAGGUGGUGCAUGGCUGUCGUCAGCUCGUGUCGUGAGAUGUUGGGUUAAGUCCCGCAACGAGCGCAACCCCCGCCGCGUGUUGCCAUCGGGUGAUGCCGGGAACCCACGCGGGACCGCCGCCGUCAAGGCGGAGGAGGGCGGGGACGACGUCAAGUCAUCAUGCCCCUUAUGCCCUGGGCUGCACACGUGCUACAAUGGCCGGUACAGAGGGGUGCCACCCCGCGAGGGGGAGCGGAUCCCGGAAAGCCGGCCCCAGUUCGGAUUGGGGGCUGCAACCCGCCCCCAUGAAGUCGGAGUUGCUAGUAAUCGCGGAUCAGCAUGCCGCGGUGAAUGCGUUCCCGGGCCUUGUACACACCGCCCGUCACACCACCCGAGUCGUCUGCACCCGAAGUCGCCGGCCCAACCGAGAGGGGGGAGGCGCCGAAGGUGUG
rnacentral:rRNA from 1 species